GACGAACGCUGGCGGCGUGCCUAACACAUGCAAGUCGAACGGGGUCCAUGAGAGCUUGCUCUCGGAAGACCUAGUGGCGUACGGGUGAGUAACACGUGAGAAACCUGCCUUGGAGUGGGGAAUAACUCGGGGAAACUCGAGCUAAUACCGCAUACCUUCCUUUGAUCGCAUGGUCAGCUGAAGAAAGAAUUUCGCUCUAA
rnacentral:rRNA from 1 species